rnacentral:rRNA from 1 species
UGGGGAAUUUUGGACAAUGGACGAAAGUCUGAUCCAGCAAUUCUGCGUGCGAGAUGAAGCAUUACGGUGUGUAAAUCGCUUUUUGAGGGAGAACGAAUGAUAGUACCUCAAGAAUAAGUGACGGCUAACUCUGUGCCAGCAGCCGCGGUAAUACAGAGGUCACAAGCGUUAUCCGGAGUUACUGGGCGUAAAGAGUCUGUAGCUUGUUUUGUAAGUCUUGAUUCAAAAACCUGGAUUCAAUCGAGGGGAG